UGCAGACCUUUGGAAAUAACCACAGGGAGUCAGACUACCGAAGCACAGUCAAGCAAUAAAUCUACCAGCAAUUUUUGUUUUCUCCAUGAGCAGAUGUACAGUGAAAGUAGAGUGCCGUUCAACCAGAGCUAGCUGUAUUAGCUGCUGCUGAAAACUUUACAGGAGGAAAUAUUCUCAGUGAAAGUUUAUGUACAUCAUGGGAAGAGGAAUUAUGCCUCUACCAUCUCCCUGGAAAGUUUGUUCCAAUGCUUAACAACCCUUUCCAUGAAGAAAUUCUACUUGAUGUCCAACCUGAACCUCUUCUGGUGCAUCUUGAGGCUAUAUCCUCUCAUCCUGUCACUUGUCACCUGGGAGAAGAAUCCAACACCCACCUCACUACAGCCUGCUGUCAGAAUUUCUGUGAAAUGAAGACGAUAAGGAGGUGAAGAGGAGGUUUCAGCAGCUGGUACACAAACAUCUAAUGACAGCUCUGCAGCCAAUAAAU